CCUACGGGAGGCAGCAGUGAGGAAUCUUGGUCAAUGGCCGGAAGCCUGAACCAGUCAUGCCGCGUGAAUGUCAGUGCCCUAUGGGCGUUAAACUUCUUUUGUGCGGGAGCAAUAUUGGUCACGUGUGGCCAGACGAGAGUACCGUACGAAUAAGCAUCGGCUAACUCCGUGCCAGCAGCCGCUGUAGUGCGGGUGAUGCAAGCGUUAUCCGGAUUUAUUGGGUUUAAAGGGUGCGUAGGCUGUGAGGUAAGUCAGCGGUGAAAUGCCCCCGCUCAACGGGGUGAAGUGCAAUUGAUACUGCCUUGCUGGAAUGCGGAUGCCGUGGGAGGAAUGUGUGGUGUAGCUGUGAAAUGCAUAGAGAUCACACAGAACACCGAUUGCGAAGGCAUCUCACGAAUCCGCGAUUGACGCUGAUGCACGAAAGCGUGGGUAUCAAACAGGAUUAGAUACCCGUGUAGUC
rnacentral:rRNA from 1 species